rnacentral:rRNA from 1 species
UACGGAGGGGGCUAGCGUUGUUCGGAAUUACUGUGCGUAAAGCGCACGUAGGCGGAUCAGCCAGUCAGGGGUGAAAUCCCGGGGCUCAACCCCGGAACUGCCUUUGAUACUGCUGGUCUGGAGUUCGAGAGAGGCGAGUGGAAUUCCGAGUGUAGAGGUGAAAUUCGUAGAUAUUCGGAGGAACACCAGUGGCGAAGGCGGCUCGCUGGCUCGACACUGACGCUGAGGUGCGAAAGCGUGGGGAGCAAACAGGAUUAGAUACCCU